AUUGCUUCCUGCCUUUUGGCUAAGAUUAAGUGUAGUAUCUGUUCUUAGUUUAAUAGUAGGGGACUAUAACACUCCCCGGACAUCAAUGGAUAGAUCAUCC
ensembl:snRNA U2 U2 spliceosomal RNA